AAACAUUUGAUGAUGUCAUUUUCACAGAUGAAUCGUCUGUUGCCCUUGAGCGGUUCUCCAGAAUGUCAUUCAGGAAACGUAACCAUAUCUCUUUAAAACCACGCCCAAAGCAUCCAUUGAAAGUCCAUGUAUGGGGAGGCAUAUCACGAUUAGGAGCUGGUCCCCUAUUAUUUUUCGAAGGAAUCAUGGAUAAGAAAUUUUUCCAAGAAACAAUAGUAGAGGAAUGUAUGGUACCAUUUGUGAAUAAAUAUUACCCAACUCACCAUAGGAUAUUCCAAGACAAUGAUCCUAAACACUCCGCCUCAGCCAAAUUUAUGGAAGAGAAAGGUAUGAAUUGGGAACGCACACCACCAGAAUCACCAGACAUGAACCCAAUCGAAUUAGUGUGGGCUCAAUUGAAGAGGUACGUUAGGAGUGUUGCAAAGCCAACAACAAAACAGCAACUGGUGGAUGGGAUAAAGAAAUUUUGGCUAGAAGUACUCACACCUGAACAUUGUAAUAAUUAUAUAAAUCACCUGUAUAAAGUAUUACCUGUUGUAGUCGAAAGAAAUGGUCAAGCCACAAAUAUGUAGUUCUGUACUGUAUUUUCUGUUUAAAAUUUCAAAUU